ensembl:lncRNA
CUCAGAUGAGCUGAGAAGCCAGGCUGCUUGUUCACCUGAAGAGAGCUUCCAGUCUGCAUGAAAGAUGAUGCCUCAGCCACUCCCAGCGGGCCCCUUAUUUAUUGUUCACUGUAACUUCUCUCUCCUACCAGCAACCAGAGACUGGCUCGAUAGACUUCUGUGAUGACAGGUGACCAAAAGGAUCACUUUCCCCCCAAAAUGCCUUGUUUUGACAGGUAUCUGGAAGAACAAAAAGGCAGCUCUUUUAUUCUAAAUACCAAGGCACUGAAAACAAAGGGAGAACUCUAUGUACGUAUUUAACUCCCUAGGCAAGUGAGCCUCAUGACUUGGGAUCAUUACUUCCUCCAAUGCUAGCCUUAAAUGGAGAACUGUGUUAAUAGUCUCUCAGUAUUUGCUUAAUGGCUUUCAAACUGGUCCAUCUCUCCACGCAAAAGGAAUAUAAAAAUUAAGUCCUGGGGCAGUGGAAAAUAUCCACAUCAGCAGAAGUUGGGACAGUCCUCAAGCAAAGAGAAGAGCAGUAAAGGAAAGUCCCUAAGAGAGGUGGAAGAAGAGAUGAGAGCAAACAGAAGAUGAAGCAGAUGCAAGAAGCAUCUGCUCAGGAAGGUCAGGAAGCAUGAGGAGGAAUGGGAAAAGGAAAUGGUCUGGCUGUAAAGAGAGGCUGAUAUAAACAGGAGAGGGGACAGUCAUGCAUCUGCAUUGCCAUGCCCAGCUUUGCCUUCAGGAGCUCAGAGAUAAUGCUCACAGAUUGAAGAGUGUGCAUGGAGGAGCUAUGCACACAACAUCAGCCACCACAGAACAAACCUUUAGGUGAAAACUCAACAAGAACAGCUGUUUCAAGGAGAGAAAAAAAAAAAAGAUCCACUGCCUUCUGGAUAAAACCAAAAAUUUUGGUCAAAUGUCAGGUACAUCAGCAAAGACAACCAACCCCUGGGCCAACUCACAAGGGCCAGGUUAGUUUUCAUGGCUAAUCAUUUCAAGACUGGGUCUGGAUGCUUCUCUUGGAGGCAAGCGGUAGUUCAAGUACAGAUUUAUGAAAUGCAGGAUUAGCCUGGAGACAAUUCUUACAGCCUCCUCUAGCUUUGCGCACUUACUCAAGACCCAAAGAGGUGGGGAGGUGGGUGAAAGAGGUGGGGCAGGGAAAGAAAGUAAAGAGAUAGAGGGAAACAAAGAAAGCAUGUUGAUAAUCACAGAAUCACAGAAUGGCCUGGGUUGAAAAGGACCACAAUGACCACCUGGUUUCAACCCCCCUGCUAUGUGCAGGGUCGCCAACCACCAGACCAGGCUGCCCAGAGCCACAUCCAGCCUGGCCUUGAAUGCCUCCAGGGCAUCCACAACCUCCUUGGGCAACCUGUUCAGUGUGUCGCCACACCCUGUGUGAAAAACUUCCUCCUAAUAUCUAGCAUAAACCUCCCUUGUCUCAGUUUAAAACCAUAAUGAACUAGAAUGAGGAAAAACAGCCUAAAAAGAGAAAGCACAAUAUGCAUAAUAAUUUUAUUUCUUCUCAUUGAACACACGUGGGAAAUAAACUGGACAAGAGAAACCAACUCUGUGCAGGAGAAUGGGGCUGGAAAUACAAAAGAAAGCUUUGUUUUUUUUUCUUUGUUUCAGAAUAUUUUUUCAAGGGUGAUUUUUUUCAAGGGUGCAGUUCUUAGCACCAGAGAAGCCAGGUCCAGCUCACCCUGUGGCACAUUUACCACCAGGUGAUGCACGAUGCCUUGUGACAGUAAGGCAGAAAAAUGCUCAACAUGCCCCCCAGCCACGCUUACACUGCAUAAUUCUUGCAGAUGACAAGAAUCCUUAGAGCCAGUGACCUCAUCUCCAAAUGAAAUGUAUAAACAGAUGCUCUUCUAAAGCCACUGUAUUCCUCCACAUGCUGCCUCGAUCGAUACAGCUGUGGUUUACUUACUCCACCGUUCCAAGUUACGUGACGAGGUACAACUGCGAAACUCUACCUGGACUUCAGCUCUGGGGGGGGGAAUUGGAUGUGUGCAGGCACGGUGAUGUAUGCAAAAAAGAAAGGAGACACCAGGAUAUGAGGUAUCAGUGUAUGAAAGCACAGGAAGCACAAGACUACCAAUGUGAAGUGUCUCUCGUGGCAUCCUCCAGCAACAGCUCUGGGGUGAAGUGACAGAAUCACAUCAAAUUGGAUUCUCUGCGUAAUGGCACAAAGACCUGAACAUUAUAAUCAGGGGUAGCUAAGCAGGUAAAUUGUAAAGAGCAAAUCUAAAAGUAGUGAUCGAUUCAUUAGCCACAGAAGCUUUGAAACAAGUUCUUUUGUCUUGGUUAUAGUUUCCAUCAAUGAACACAGCAAGGAAGUUGGUUUACUGCAGCAGAGCGUGCUUCUGUUGCCUUUGCUGGUCCAUGAGAGAGAUCAGUUCUCUCAGCAGAUCCCAGCUUACGCCUGGCUUUGCUCUAAAAACCACGUCCAGAAAAACACAAGCAACAGGAAGUUCUCGGUGUGUAAACACAAGGUAAAAGCUUACACUUUCUGCAGCUGAGCACUACCACUAACGACAACAAUAAAAAGGCAGAAUAUGUGCACAGCAUCAUACCAUGUAUAUAAAAAGCCAUAGGCUAAAGCUCAACAUUUGUAGAUAAAUACGACACCUAGAAGUCUUAGGAAAUUAAAACCAGGAGCUUUCUUUUUUUUCUGCAAACCUCCUUUUGCUUUCACCUACAUUCAUGUUUCAUGCGCUCAGCUUCUUCAUUCCAAGACAAAGAAAGAAACAAACAUCUGACAGCCUCUUCCCCACCCCUCCAUCUUUUCCUCCUUCAGCCCCAAACGGUCUCUCUGCAGCUGGUGCAAUACUACCCUGGAUCAGCUCCGUGAGCUGCAUUUCCCUGAGCUGCCCCAAGCAGCAUUCACUGUGGAGAUUACCAGGAAGAGAGACCAAAAUGCUCUUAAUGUAGAGAUAUACUCAAGCGACAAUAGAAUUACUCAGUGAAAUCGAGUGGGGUUAUCAGUGGGGUGCAGUUCUUACUGAGCACUGAGGCGGUUCACUCACACCCCACACACUUUUUAAGUGUUAAACUGCAUAUGCAUAAAAAAUGAAAUGUAUUCC